UUCGUAGGUGGCCAACUAAGUCAGACGUGAAAUCCCUCGGCUCAACCGGGGAACUGCGUCUGAUACUGGUUGGCUUGAGUGCAGGAGAGGAACGCGGAAUUCCAGGUGUAGCGGUGAAAUGCGUAGAUAUCUGGAGGAACACCGGUGGCGAAGGCGGCGUUCUGGACUGCAACUGACACUGAGGAACGAAAGCCAGGGAGCAAACG
rnacentral:rRNA from 1 species